rnacentral:rRNA from 1 species
UACGUAGGUGGCAAGCGUUAUCCGGAAUUAUUGGGCGUAAAGCGCGCGCAGGUGGUUCUUUAAGUCUGAUGUGAAAGCCCCCGGCUCAACCGGGGAGGGUCAUUGGAAACUGGGGAACUUGAGUAUAGAAGAGGAAAGUGGAAUUCCACGUGUAGCGGUGAAAUGCGUAGAGAUGUGGAGGAACACCAGUGGCGAAGGCGACUUUCUGGUCUAUAACUGACAAUGAGGCGCGAAAGCGUGGGGAGCAAACAGG